UUGACUUGGAGUAUAUUUGCCUAGUAGAGAAACCUUAUGCGUUGCUUUACCUAUGACUGUUCAAUGUGCACGAAGGACGAUCGAAGAUAAACGAGAACAUUUUAUCGAAUGCACCAAAUCACGUAAGCUGAAUUUGAUUGAAUCUUAUUAUUGACUAACAUAUUCCAAAUAAUUAUGAAACAACCUGCCGUGCGAAAGUCAAUGCCAGAUUCACAAUAUGAACCUGGCCCGUUCAACUUCUCAUCUCGAUUGGAGUUUGAAGCGAAGUCUAAUCUUCUUCGUUCAAGAAGUGAUACGUGUCUUGGAAAACAACGUCAACGAUAUCAAACGAACAGCUUAAAGAACUCCGUUAAAAUUAAUCCAUGGACUGUGCCGAGUAUCAACUUCACAUUUUACGAUAGUAAACCAAAGAACAUAGAAUUUGAAGCAAAGAAAAACCGACAAUAUCAUGAGAAGCCUAGGAAUGAGGAGUUUGCAAGAAUACCUCUCCCUAAGAGGUUAGAAAAACCUGUGAGUAAAGAUACUAAGUUCGUCACGUCGUUUCGUUCACCGAGUGCAAGGACAUCGAGGAUAAUAGGGGUGAAAGAAGGCACGUAUCCUGCAGGACCCUACAAACCAUGGGGUCCUCAUGCAUUCAGAGGCGAUGAUUUCAGACCGGAUGGUGAACAGCAAAAUAAAGAACGAAAACCGCCAUUUGUGACAUCAUAUUCUCGAGAUCGGAGAAACUUGGAAUUGCAGAGGAAUAUCAGUCAAAUGCAAAGUUUAAAAUGCGAAGAUCGUAACAGGUCUUGCACAAGGGAAGAAAGACCAAAGCCUUUCCUGACCAAUGCAGAACAACAACCGAAAUGGGAUCACAAUUUGUUUUUGAAAAAAGAGAAAUAUCAAAGAGGGCUUUCAGAGGAGGAAAUACGAAUGAAUAGAAUUAUGAAGCAACUUUCAUGGUAUUCAGGUGACGUGGUUGUGGAGACACUAGACCGUCCAGAUAUUAAAGAUUAUAAACUUGUAGAUUGGUUGCGCGUUACUCGACAUUCUGAAGAUGAAACGACCGUGCUGUGUUGAUUUCAUUUUACGACAAUUGCGUCGAGUUCUGAUUUAGGAUAGCUGUGUCAGUGCACGACCACUCUCUGAUUGCUAUAUCACUGACAUUGGCUCAACCACUGCGAUUUAUUUCACAAAUUAAUCGGUCAAGCACAAAGUUAAUGAACACCACCAAACUGGUCUGUGAACAAACGAUAUGUGGCAGGCUGGCAGCCACUGACCUAUACUAAACUGCUGUAGUUACUCUAGUAUAGGUCAGUGGUGGCAGCUCCCCGCCCUGUAUGCGGGUUGUCUCUUUAGGAUUAGAGAAUACGGAAAAAAUGUGAUUUGUCUCAUAGUUUCUUUAUGUUUGAACGUAAUGCACCAAUUUUCUAGACUUCAGAAACGUGUUAUUAGUCUUGGAAAUUUGAAAUGAAAGAAGAAAGGUCUAAGGUUUCUAAUUGGCCCUGAUCGAGACGCAAAAAAAGUGAUCGAUAAGCCCUUACACUCCCUACAAAACCAAGUACCGCACUUCUGCAAAUAUGGCGGUCGAUUCAAAAUUGAAAACACCUAAACUUUUAAGAGCAUUUUAUAAACUGAACAGUUAUAAACAAAUUUCAGUUUCACUGCAGUUUCAAUUAGUGCAAACGUCAUUUUGGUGAAAUUGAUUCGUAUGGGACUCCAGAUUAAGAUUUUUUAAUUUUGGAAGAGACACUUUCUGUCACCAGUAUUAUAACCACUCACCAAUGAAAUGCAGGUAUUGAAUAACUAUUAUUUUUGGUGUCAGAUUUGAAUCAUUUGAUAUAAAAAAGUCACUUUGAUGUGAGGUGGUUGAGGAAUCGUUUUGAUAAAACAUAAAAGGUAUUCAUGAGCAAUAGCAUUCGGAGGGGAUGGCAAACUGGCAAAGCUGUGCAGAAAAAGUGGAGCUCCCCCAUUUAUUCUGCAAUUGAGGUGAUUGCAUGAGGUCUGUUAUUCUGAAUAUUGCAAAUUUACAAUGAUGCACCAUUGAUGAUACCUGAAGGGGUGGGUAGGUUAAUUACUAGGAAUUAGCCAUGUUUGUGCAUAUAUUGUGUCCAGGGUGCAAAUGGUGCAAACAAAGUUAAGAGAUGAAAGAAGCAGAUAGACAUCUCUAAAGAGGCUGUCUACAACAACCUGCAUGCUUCAAACACCACUCAUCACUAGCCUAAAUUACUAGACCUAGUGGCUAGUGAACUGCUUAGCCUCAGCACUGGGUUUUGAAAUAUUUAUAUACAAACAAAAAUAAAUGGCUUUUUAGCGGGCAGGUGUUUUCCAAAUUAGGAUUUGGUGUUUCUUAUUGGAUAUAAAAUCUUACUGAAUAUUAAUAAUGCAAUAGUUUAACAAUGCUAAUCCUAAUUAAAUGGAUGUUCUUUGACAUCCAUUGACAAACUAAUUGGCUGACAAGAUAACUAGCAGGCAGGUGUUAAUUUCUUUCUACCAAAGAACUGCUAUAUAUAUUGCCACUUCUUCUUAAUCUCUUUGCUGACAAAUAUUUAAAGGAGAAAGGAGCAGAUUUUCUUCUUAAUUAAUACUGAGAUAGAAAUACAGCUAUACAUGGUUGCUAUUAAGGUCUCUUCCAAGUCAGCAUAUUUCUAAAUUACUCACAGGACCUAACAGGCUUUAGAUUGAAAGCCGCCUAAAAUUACUUUGCAUCAAUGCUUUGAGUGCAAGGUUGUAUGUGGUACGUAAUGUACAUCGUUUUUCCAACUACAUGUGCAAAAACAUUGUAAUAUUAUAUUUUUUCAUUUUUUGUGUGCUGGUAUUAACGAAAUCAGUGCAGUAUAUAAUAUAAUAUUUAACAAUGGAAUAUUGUCCGCGUAAAUUUGUAGUCAAACAACAAACGUUGAAAUUUUAUUCAUUAAAUAACAACAUCAUUAAAAAAAAUUCUUUUGGAGAAUUUGUUCCUAGCUUA
rnacentral:misc_RNA from 1 species